rnacentral:rRNA from 1 species
UACUAGAGUAGCACUCGCAUAUCAAUAAGCGGAGGAAAAGAAACUAACAAGGAUUCCCCUAGUAACGGCGAGUGAAGCAGGAAGGAGCUCAAAUUUGAAAUCUUAAAGGGUUUCCCUUUACGAAUUGUAGUUUAAAGAAGUGUUUUCUGUUGAGGUUUUGGUAAAAGUUCUUUGGAAUAGGACAUCAUAGAGGGUGAGAAUCCCGUAUUUGACCUUUACUUUCAACUUUGUGAUACACUUUCAAAGAGUCGGAUUGUUUGGGAAUGCAGUCCAAAAUGGGUGGUAAAUUUCAUCUAAAGCUAAAUAUUGGCGAGAGACCGAUAGCGAACAAGUACCGUGAGGGAAAGAUGAAAAGAACUUUGAAAAGAGAGUUAAACAGUACGUGAAAUUGUCAAAAGGGAAGCGUUUGACACCAGUGUUGUUUUUCUGAAAAUCAAUUAAAGAACUGUUUAUGCUAAGUUGUUUAGACUUUAUCAGCUAAUCUGCUUAGUUUUGAGCUUUUCCUUAAUGCACUUUUCAGUUAACAAGUCAACAUCAAUUUCUUUUGCUGUAAAAAAGCUUGAGGAAGGUGGCUUGAGAUUCGUCUUAAGUGUUUAUAGCCUCUUGCCUAUGCAGUCGGAGAGAUUGAGGUCUGCAGCGUAGAUCCUUCGGGGCUAAAUGCAUUUGUGCUAAGUUAUAGCAUUUUAUAGACAACUUGUUGACUAUGAUUUGUCUUGUAGCUUACUCGCUUAUGUUAUUUUACCUACGCUUAGGAUGUUGAGUAGCGACAUACGCAC